rnacentral:sRNA from 15 species
UCAUCCUAACAAGCCCUGAUCUCUGGAAACCCACUGCAAAGAUAUAUUUUACAUUCUUUGGGCUGUUCCCGUUCCCCUUCCGUACAGCUGCUACGCCCAUUAAAUGUUCCGAGUUCCGGUUGCUUUGGAGCUCACGUAGAGACCAUAAAAGAAGCUUUGCAUACAUAUGUAUGUAUGUAUUAGCAGCAGCAGAAAUAGUAGCAGCAGAUGCAUGGGACAUCUUGCACUAAAACAGUGCGAAAGACAGAGCGGGGUUGGAGGUAAGCAACGGAUACGGACACGGACACAGACACGGAACAGGCGACAUUUGAAUGCCCUACUCCAUUCUGAACCUUUCUCAAGCCAUGCGAGAGAGUAACAAAGUGAAGUGAUCAUCAUCAGCAGGGAGAGCAUCUCGAGACGCUUUCCCGCAUAGGACGGAGCCAGACACGUUCCAUGGACAUGCGAGCUGAGAAAUGGAGCAAUUCCAGCUUACGGUUGAAUGUCAGGAAUCCAACUUUAAUUUUAAUGCAACUCCACUCGCAAGACAGGCACAGGCACAGCCAGCAUCCAACAUUGAGCACCGAGUGCCAUGGCAUCCUCUGGAGUAUACAUGGGUCAAGCCAGCUAGUUGUUCCUGGUCCGGCAUGCACCGUUAAAUCUCCUAAUCGACACGGACGGCCACAGUUGGCCCGAAAAAUGAAAUCCGUAAAACUUUUACCAGUUGCAUUUAGAAAAUGGCCAAAGGAGCUCUCUGGCCGAGGGCCAAGGCAACCAAUGCAGCCAACGCAGCAUCUAGUCACGAUGGAAGGGAUGGAAUGGAAACUGUUGGAGACAAGGCAAGCCGGGGGAAUUAGAAUUUCGGAUGGAAAAUAUCCAACUGUGCACCAUGUUAAUGGCAAAUGGCGUUCGCAGUUGUCCUCCCUGCCAAAAUUCCUCCUUACGGGCUGCUCUCAUUCUCUCCCACCUAAAUGAUCCGGUCUCCGUCUCCGUCUCCGUCUCGGUGUCAGCUUCGGUUUCAGUCUCAGUCAGUACAAGGGUGCGAACAGCAAAGGGUCGGGAGCAGUAUACGAAAAUUUAUUACACUCGAAAUAGUGUAUAUGUAUGUUUGUAUGUGUGUAUGUAUGUAUGCAUGUACAUUGUGCAUAUAGAUAAACGUAUUCACAGACAUCAUAUAUAGAUGUGACUCGGCAUAUAGGAAUGCAAGUACGGGUAUAUGCAUCUGGAGUAAAGCUUAAAAGUGUGUGUACGACGUAAGCCAAUUUUCAGGCGAAACGUUAACUGCCAGAAAAUGAAAUGAACUACAAGGCGAAAGAGACACACGCACACAGAUAACUUAAUGGGAAACUUUUUAGCUUGGAUAACAUUCGCUGGAGUCAGCCAAAUGCCUAAUGAAUCAACUUCAGGAAGCGACUUUUAGUCGCAUAUUGUCGCCACGAUAGGGCCACCAUAUGGAGCACACGAAGGCCGUUGUGCGAUGGCUAAUCAAGGCUACUUUAAAAAUCGGUUCUGAGCUUCAGGAGGCUAUCCGUAGAGAUACAACUGGCCUAAGAAGCUGUUAAGGCUAGGCUCAUCCUCAGAAUCAUAUUUGUUGAGUGAUCUUAUCAUAACGUAUCAUUAGGUAUGAACUGGAACAGCUAUGACUUCGUCUGAUGUCGGGGUCACCAUUGUUACGAUCUUAGGAAAUGGCAGGUAAAUGAAAUGAAUAGGUACUGCAUUAUUUGUAGUUGCAAUUAAUACAUUAUUUGGUGAUUAUGAGUGAAAUAUCAAUAUGAAUAAAUAAAUAUGACAA